GAGGAAUAAGCAUCGGCUAACUCCGUGCCAGCAGCCGCGGUAAUACGGGGGAUGCAAGCGUUAUCCGGAAUCAUUGGGCGUAAAGCGCCUGUAGGUUGUUUAAUAAGUCUGUUGUUAAAGACUAGGGCUUAACCCUAGAAAAGCAAUGGAAACUACUAGACUAGAGUAUGGCAGGGGUAGAGGGAAUUUCUAGUGUAGCGGUGAAAUGCGUAGAUAUUAGAAAGAACACCGGUGGCGAAAGCGCUCUACUGGACCAUUACUGACACUCAGAGGCGAAAGCUAGGGUAGCAAAAGGGAUUAGAUACCCCUGUAGUCCUAGCCGUAAACGAUGGAUACUAGAUGUUGUGUAUUAUAUACAGUAUCGUAGCUAACGCGUUAAGUAUCCCGCCUGGGGAGUACGCUCGCAAGGGUGAAACUCACAGGAAUUGACGGGGGCCCGCACAAGCGGUGGAGCAUGUGGUUUAAUUCGAUGCAACGCGAAGAACCUUACCAGGACUUGACAUACUACAAAUUCUUUUGAGAAAAAGAAGUGCCUUCGGGAAUGUAGAUACAGGUGGUGCAUGGCUGUCGUCAGCUCGUGUCGUGAGAUGUUGGGUUAAGUCCCGCAACGAGCGCAACCCUUAUUUUUAGUUACCAAUUCGUUGGGUUCUCUAGAAAGACUGCCGGUGACAAACCGGAGGAAGGUGAGGAUGACGUCAAGUCAGCAUGCCCCUUAUGUCCUGGGCUACACACGUGCUACAAUGGUUAAGACAAAGAGUCGCGAGCUCGCAAGGGUCAGCUAAUCUCAUAAACUUAGCCUAAGUUCAGAUUGUAGGCUGCAACUCGCCUACGUGAAG
rnacentral:rRNA from 1 species